rnacentral:rRNA from 1 species
AUUGAACGCUGGCGGCAGGCCUAACACAUGCAAGUCGAAUGGUACAGGAAACAGCUUGCUGUUUCGCUGACGAGUGGCGGAAGGGUGAGUAAUGUCUGGGAAACUGCCUGAUGGAGGGGGAUAACUACUGGAAACGGUAGCUAAUACCGCAUAACGUCGCAAGACCAAAGAGGGGGACCUUCGGGCCUCUUGCCAUCAGAUGGGCCCAGAUGGGAUUAGCUAGUAGGUGGGGUAACGGCUCACCUAGGCGACGAUCCCUAGCUGGUCUGAGAGGAUGACCAGCCACACUGGAACUGAGACACGGUCCAGACUCCUACGGGAGGCAGCAGUGGGGAAUAUUGCACAAUGGGCGCAAGCCUGAUGCAGCCAUGCCGCGUGUAUGAAGAAGGCCUUCGGGUUGUAAAGUACUUUCAGCGGGGAGGAAGGGAGUAAAGUUAAUACCUUUGCUCAUUGACGUUACCCGCAGAAGAAGCACCGGCUAACUCCGUG